GUAGGGUUUAUUUUAUUCUCGUACUAAGGGCUAAAUACCCCUCUUUUCCAGCUUGCCUCUGUGCAAUAUCUUCUUUUCCCUGUGCUGCGAAAAAUCCAUCGCUCCUGGGAACAUCUUUACUUUUGGGCUUUUCGUAUCACCCUUUUCUGGUUAUUGUCUUUUGUUUUAACUUUUGAGACCCACGUUUAAAAGAAUUAUCAGAAACCAGUCUACCAAGAACUUCUCGGGAUUGCCUUAUAUAUAUGAUCGCUUGAACUGCUUGAUCUGUACGUGGUAUGGCACGCCCUUGAUAUCUUAUGACAAUGUGCUGGUUAUGACGGUUAAUUCGAUCGGUGUAGUUUUUCAAAUGACCUACAUUAUCAUCUUCAUCGUGCAUGCUGAGAGAAAAAGAUUAGGAUGAUUGGGUUGCUACUGGCAGUUUUUGGCUUUCUCGAAAUCAUAGUUGCUGGAAGCUUGCAGAUAGCCGACCGAGGAAUGCGAUGGAUCUUUGUUGGGUUAUUAAGUUGUGCUUCUCUCGUAUCAAUGUUUGCUUCCCCAUUGUUUAUAAUCAAUUUAGGAAUUCGAACAAAGAGUGUUGAAUUCAUCCCAUUCUAUCUCUCCCUCUCAACAUUCUUGUUGAGCACCUCGUUCUUCCUAUAUUGCAUAUUUAACUUCGAUGCCUUUAUUAACGUUUAGAACUGUUUUGGGGAUUCUACAACUCGUGUUGUACUUCUACUAUAAAACAAAGUCCUUCGAAGGAUCCCAAGGACCACUCAUGGUGUCACACGCGUUACUCUUGCUUUUUUCUUUGAAUAGGUAAUUACUUCUAUAUUUUGUUUCUAUGCUUCAAUGAUUUUCUGACGGUAUGCUGGUGGAAAGUUUUUUAGAUGUUGAGGUGUAUAGUGACAAGAAUCUUGAUGUAUGGUCUCGUUUGUUGUAUUUUCCUGAGCGUGUUCCAUUUCUUUGUCUGAACAAAUUUGUUUGUUAGCACUCUGAGUUAAUAAGGGGAAGUGUCUAGGCUUUGCAUACAUGAGCGAAGCAUAACCCGAUUUAUGCUUGA